rnacentral:lncRNA from 1 species
AAGCCAAAACAGGGAGUUUAAUAGACUCUCUGAUCAGCACAGUUUUAUAUUUGAUCGGGGAAAGAUGGACUCAUGAUGGAAGCUUAUUAUGGCAAAGGAUAAGAAUUCCCCUAAAGGUACAUUGAAACGUUCACCUAGUUUAGACCUCAUACCAAGAACAUGGACAAAUGAGAUCAUCAGUUGGUGUGUAUGUUCCAGUGACACUCGGUUUGGAGUUAAACAUUAAAAAUUCUUUACCCUUGACUUUCUGUAAAACUAAUGAAAUAAAGCUUGUAUAAUAGCCUCUAAAGCAAACAUUCUAUAUUUGUGCUAUGAAAAACAGGUCUAACUCCAGAAGCCAGUUUGCUAACACCCUAAUAGAUUCUGACAUAUGAGCAUCUUCAGCAGGAUUUACAAAAUAUUUAAAGCAACCUCUCAAGUAUGAAACAAAUUCAUUACCCAAAAUAACCUGACUCAAGUCCUUUUAAUACUUCUCUCAGCUCACCCUGUGGAUAUACACAGAGCUUGAUUCCAUCUGAAGCUUUCAAGUCACAUCAGUGUGCAGACAUCAAAUAAUCACAAAAACAGAACUACUGUUAAAAUCUAGGAGUGGAAGACCAAGGAAAUUCAGAUAUUUGGAGAUUUGUAAAAAUAUUCCUUUGAUUUGUCAAAAAUAGUGAAUGUGCCCACUGGGUGAAGUUGUGAUACCUCC